GCAAGACCGCGUGAGGGAGGAAGGCUCUUGGGUUGUAAACCUCUUUUGUCAGGGAAGAAGAAAGUGACGGUACCUGAAGAAUCAGCAUCGGCUAACUCCGUGCCAGCAGCCGCGGUAAUACGGAGGAUGCAAGCGUUAUCCGGAAUUAUUGGGCGUAAAGCGUCCGCAGGUGGUCAAUCAAGUCUGCUGUCAAAGCACGUGGCUUAACCACGAAAAGGCAGUGGAAACUGAAGGACUAGAGUGCUCAAGGGGUAGAGGGAAUUCUCGGUGUAGCGGUGAAAUGCGUAGAGAUCGGGAAGAACAUCGGUGGCGAAAGCGCUCUACUGGAGAGCAACUGACACUCAGGGACGAAAGCUAGGGGAGCGAAUGGGAUUAGAUACCCCAGUAGUCCUAGCCGUAAACGAUGGAUACUAGGUGUG
rnacentral:rRNA from 1 species